CCCGGUGACCAUACUGAAGGGGCCACACCCGUUCCCAUUCCGAAUACGGCCGUUAAGCCCUUUAAGGCCGAUGGUACUGCUUUGGCGACAAAGUGGGAGAGUAGGUAGUCGCCGGGU
rnacentral:rRNA from 1 species